UCAGUGAAAUUGAACUCGCUGUGAAGAUGCAGUGUACCCGCGGCAAGACGGAAAGACCCCGUGAACCUUUACUAUAGCUUGACACUGAACAUUGAGCCUUGAUGUGUAGGAUAGGUGGGAGGCUUUGAAGUGUGGACGCCAGUCUGCAUGGAGCCGACCUUGAAAUACCACCCUUUAAUGUUUGAUGUUCUAACGUUGACCCGUAAUCCGGGUUGCGGACAGUGUCUGGUGGGUAGUUUGACUGGGGCGGUCUCCUCCUAAAGAGUAACGGAGGAGCACGAAGGUUGGCUAAUCCUGGUCGGACAUCAGGAGGUUAGUGCAAUGGCAUAAGCCAGCUUGACUGCGAGCGUGACGGCGCGAGCAGGUGCGAAAGCAGGUCAUAGUGAUCCGGUGGUUCUGAAUGGAAGGGCCAUCGCUCAACGGAUAAAAGGUACUCCGGGGAUAACAGGCUGAUACCGCCCAAGAGUUCAUAUCGACGGCGGUGUUUGGCACCUCGAUGUCGGCUCAUCACAUCCUGGGGCUGAAGUAGGUCCCAAGGGUAUGGCUGUUCGCCAUUUAAAGUGGUACGCGAGCUGGGUUUAGAACGUCGUGAGACAGUUCGGUCCCUAUCUGCCGUGGGCGCUGGAGAACUGAGGGGGGCUGCUCCUAGUACGAGAGGACCGGAGUGGACGCAUCACUGGUGUUCGGGUUGUCAUGCCAAUGGCACUGCCCGGUAGCUAAAUGCGGAAGAGAUAAGUGCUGAAAGCAUCUAAGCACGAAACUUGCCCCGAGAUGAGUUCUCCCUGACUCCUUGAGAGUCCUGAAGGAACGUUGAAGACGACGACGUUGAUAGGCCGGGUGUGUAAGCGCAGCGAUGCGUUGAGCUAACCGGUACUAAUGAACCGUGAGGCUUAACCUUACAACGCCGAAGGUGUUU
rnacentral:rRNA from 1 species